AUGAGAUUUCAUUCAAAGCCGGUGGUAGGUCCGCUUUGUACCUUAGAGUUACAUGCUCAAACUCAAUCUUCCCUUCUGUUGGCCAACUUCUAUCAGGAGCUUCUGAUCCCUGGAGUUCUUCUUGAGGUAUACCGACAUACUGCAAGCAUUAUUGAAUUACUAGAGGAAAAUAUGCUUGUCAGUAACAGGCAGAAUAUUUCUUGGCUUUUUACCUCAACAACCCUCUCAACAGAGAUCAUUUCCUUUUCUGUCUCUGUAAAAGUGGUUAAGAAGCUAUUCAACAGUGAUACAACAGGUGCUGCAUACGAUAACGCCAGGCCAACCUGCAGUGUAUUUUCUCUAUCAAAGUCUAUAGUUCAAACAUACCAAUAUUUUCAACAGGAACAGAAAUGUAAAAAAAUGAGCCUGGAGUUGGUAAUCUCUUAUUUUCUCUAUCUUAAAUUCUACAUAGUUCAAACAUACCAAUAUUUUCAACAGGAACAGAAAUGUAAACAAAUGAGCCUGGAGUUGGUAAUUUCUUCCCUGUCAUACUUACCAGUCCAGGUGUACCAAACUUAA
rnacentral:rRNA from 1 species